rnacentral:lncRNA from 1 species
GACAAGCACCAGGACUGCCCCGGCCUCCCCAGAAGACAGGCUCCACGCUAGUGGCAGGGGCAGGCAGGGCUUGCAGGUGAGAGACAGGGGCAGCUGUGGGGGUUGGCAGCUCUCACUGCCGCUGCCCGGGCUGGGCUGGGUCGGGUUGGUCUGGGCAUGUGCCAGCUGCCAGUGCCUGCUUAUCUGUGACUCAGCUGCUACAGCAUCAGGCACUGAAGUUGGUUCCUCAUCAUCAGUGAGCUGCUCCCACCGCCCCCAGGCCUGGUUGAGGCCUUGGGGACCUGCAGAGGACCCCAUGCUGCCUCUAACCAGGACAUUGAGGCACAGAGAUUAAGAAACUGACUACAAGGCCCGGCACGGUGGCUCAUGCCUGUAAUCCCAACACUUUGGGAGGCUGAGGCAGGUGGAUCACUUGAGGCCAGGAGUUUGAGACAAGACUGGCCAAUAUGGCAAAACCCCAUCUCGACUAAAAAAUACAAAAAUUAGCCAGGCGUGGUGCCGCACGCCUAUAAUCCCAGCUACUUGGGAGGCUGAGGCAAGAGAAUGGCUUGAACCCAGGAGGUGGAGUUUGCAGUGAGUCGAGAUCACGCCACUGCACUCCAGCAAGGGCAACAGAUCGAAACUCUGUCUGAAAAAAUAAAAAUAAAAAAUAAAAAACUGACCACAGUCCCUUGCUGACCAGUGGCAGGGCAGGGCAGGGACUCAAACCGAAGUGUCCUGGCUCUAGAAUCCAUGCCCGUAAGCCCGGCUCUCCAUCUACUCCCAGCCACUCCUCCCCAAUCUCCUUCCCAAACAAGAAACACUGAUACACAGAAUGAGUUAUGAAGAACCUUGUGUUUUGAUCAUCUGGACAACAGAAAGCCCCUGUUUUAAGAGAAACACAGUGUGUUACUGAUGGUGUCAUCAGUGACGUGGCCCUGAUGUGCCGCCAUGCUCCAGCUCAACUACACCGGAGCAGCAACUGUUUUCACCCUUCUGGAUUCAGCUAAGAAUCACCGACCAUCGAGAACCAGCUAACACCGAAUGCAUCAGAAAGAGCCAACUUCCACAUAGAUCCCUUCCUGGGCAUAUGCUUAGGGGCUCUGCCAAAACCUGAACAAGGCACAUGGUAGAGAUGACACAGCUCGGGUGCCUGUGCAGUAACGUGUCCUCACAGGAAGUGGUGAUGCCUUGCUUUCAUUCCCUACUAUAUCUUUGGCUUCACUACAGUCUUUGUGAAGCUUUCUUCACACCAUACACAGGAACCUCUGGAAAUAACUGUGCUAAGCUAAGCCCCUAGCACAGCGCCUAACACAGAGCAGGAAUUCAAAUUUGUGAAGCGGAUUCUUGCUCUGUCAGCC